rnacentral:rRNA from 1 species
GAUCCUGGCUCAGGAUGAACGCUAGCUACAGGCUUAACACAUGCAAGUCGAGGGGCAUCAGUUUGGUUUGCUUGCAAACCAAAGCUGGCGACCGGCGCACGGGUGAGUAACACGUAUCCAACCUGCCUCAUACGUCGGGGAUAGCCUUUCGAAAGAAAGAUUAAUAUCCGAUAGCAUAUAUUUCCCGCAUGGGUUUUAUAUUAAAGAAAUUCGGUAUGAGAUGCGGAUGCGUUCCAUUUAG